UUCACCUCAAGUGACAAACAGACCUCUUCAUGAGUCGAGACCUAGGGAAGGAGGGGAGCUGUGAACCAGUCCAGGAAUCACCUGUGCUGUGGAUUCCCUAGGGCUGGAGAUCCAGGGCUGGCAGUCCCAGAACAGUAUGGGUGUGAUCUGCCUGUCUGAGGGUUGGGUCCACACAGUACCUCUGAGGAUGGAAUCCUGGCCUUAACUCCCUUUGGGAGCUCACAUUUGCUUUCUCGUUCAGUUGAAUUUCCCACAAUCUUCCUAGGGGCAUACCCUGUGAGAAAGAAGCCAGGCCAGGAACUGGACUGAGGGACAGAAGCCUUGCCAGUCAGACAGCACCUGGACCAUGACUUAUAAUCACCUCCUGGGAACCCAGUCCAGUCUUCUAAGCAGCCAGAGACUUGCCCCUGCCAGCCUUGCAGAAGGGCAGGUGCCAUUGCAGGGAGCUUAGUGGUCUGCAAUAUCAUUCAACAGAUAUCCCAUGUUUGUCUCUACUUCCCACCUAGGAUCAGACAGAGAAGCCAAAUCUGCCUCUAAAUCUGUCAAUUGGACAUCUGUCUGGAGGCGACACCUCAGUUUCCUAGGCUUCUGGCCUCUAUCAGACCCACCUGAACCUGCCUCUGCACUCUGUUCCCCUGGCCCAAGGUUCUAUGCGAGGAGCAGCCGACCCACAGAACAUUGCAGAGCUGUGCCCGGACUCCGGCAUUUCCACGGGCAGAAGCACUGAGAUGGGUGAGGCUCCCCCAACAUGGCAUUUGUUUCUGAGUCCUUGUGCUGUCACCCUUGCAAAUUAUGCUGGUAGCUACAGGUCAGUAAUGUACAUAGUCCGUUGGUGUCUAUCAGGGAUACUUCCAGGACUCAGUAGAUCACAAAAUCUGUAACUGCUCAGGCCUCUUAAAUAACACGGUGAAGCAUUGCUGGAGACACUCUCCUCACACCCUCCCAUAGAUUUAAAACUAUCUCUGGAUGUUGUAGUGUGGGCUCCAUUAGGAUUAGAGGCAUAGUGACAAAAAAAGACUACAUGUUCAGUGCAGAAGUGAUUUCUUCUCAGGUACUUAACACCCAAGACCAUUUAACCCCUUGGUGUGGACCCUGAAGAUUUGGAGAGAUAUUGGAACCUUAUGUCCAAAAUUACUAAAAGAGUGAAUUUCAGAUGUCCUGGCCACAGAAAUGAGAGGUCUGGGAGGUAAUUAGCUUGAUGGACUCACAGACACACAUCAUUCACAAUUAUCAUUUGUGUCUUGGUGUGAGUUUUUAAUUGCUGUGAAAAGACACUAUGACCAUGGCAACUCUUAUAAAGAAGACAUUUAAUGGGGAUGGCUCCCUUACAGUUUCAGAGGUUCUAUUCAUUAUUAUCAUGGAGGGGAGUAUGGCAGCAUGCAGGUGUCGGAGCUGAGACUUCUACAUCUUGACUCAGAAGCAACAGGAAGUCAACUGAUUGUCACAUUGAGUGACAGUCAAAGCCCACCCCCACAGUGAGACACUUUCUCCAAUGAGGCCAUACUUCCUAACAGUGCCACUCCCUUUGGUGGCCAUUAUCUUCCAAACCAUUUGCAAAAAUAAUCUUGAGCGGUGUGCUCACCUCUUUGGCUGACUCCAAGCAUAGCUGGUUCAAUUGCAUUUGCUCAGAAGAUGUGCUCAAGUCCUCAGCCAGGAGCAUGGGCCUUUUAGGGAAACAGAAUCAUUGCAGAUGCUACCAAGUUAACAUGAGGUUAUAACGAGGCGGG
rnacentral:lncRNA from 1 species